CCCUUAGACGUUCUGGGCCGCACGCGCGCUACACUGACCAGUGCAACAAGCAUCCGUCCUUGGCCGACAGGCCCGGGCAAUCUUUGAACGCUGGUCGUGAUGGGGAUAGACUUUUGCAAUUUUUGGUCUUCAACGAGGAAUUCCUAGUAAACGCAAGUCAUCAACUUGCAUUGAUUACGUCCCUGCCCUUGGUACACACCGCCCGUCGCACCUACCGAUUGAAUGGUCCGGUGAAGCCUCCGGAUUGGCGCGCACCUCGGUGCCGCCGAGAAGUUGGCUAAACCUUACCAUUUAGAGGAAGGUGAAGUCGUAACA
rnacentral:rRNA from 1 species